AGAACCAAUCAGGAACGCAGGGUGAGAGGAAUGAGCCAAUCAGGAGCACAUGUAGGGAGAGGGUGGAAUAUCAGAGCCACAUCUGGGAGGAAAAACAAACAAAAAUAAAGUGAACACGGAGGCACUGGCAACGUCUCGCUCAAGGAAACGUUCAAAGGAAGACUUACAGUAGGAAAAAGUCACCGCAGAGGGAUGUUAUUUCUCGGACAGAGGAGGCCUCGAUCGGUGGGAUAAAACCUCAGAAUAAGGAAGGAUUAAGGAUAAAUAUUGGCCAGGACACUGAGACAUGCUUCUUUGAGAUGGUGCUACGUGAUCUUUUGCAUCUACCUGAGACGGCAGAUGAGACCUGAGCUUAAUAUCCGAUCCAAAAGAUGGUACUUCUGACAAAACAACGCUUACUCAGUGCUGUACCUAAGAGUCAGUCAAAUUUUUUGUUCAAAUAUGUCUUUCAGCUGGCAGAUCUACCUCACUAGUCAUGACGUGAAAAUUGCUCUUCAUGUAAAGAUUUAGAAAUUAAAGGAAAACUUGCA